rnacentral:tRNA from 1 species
GCUGGUUUGGCUCAGUGGACAGAGCAUCGGCCUGUGGACCAAAGUGUCCCAGGUUCGAUUCCGGGAAAGGGCA